rnacentral:tRNA from 1 species
UCCACUACUUAGUUGGUAGAGUACAAAGCUCUUAACUUAUGGACAUGGGUUUAAUCCCCAUGGUGGAG